GUUUUCAAUAGGUGUCAUGAGUAGGGAGCAGUUAUAAUUAGUAAUAUCGGGAAGAACUCCUCUUAUUGGCGUGAAAAAUGAGUUUCGGUGUGUUAUGAUGUAUUGAGACAAUGCUGCUAUGAUUGAAUAAACAUGCAGCAGCAUCAAAGAUUUUUAUAAUUUAAUGUUUUUUAAAUACAUGUGAACGUUAAUUUGCUUAGACUUUAAAGAAAAGAAGAAUAUAAUUCAUGAUAGGAAUUUCGAGAACCAUGAUUUUGCAUCAAUGUCAGAUGACAAGGGUGUAAGGAUAUAUUUCCCGAAUAAAACAGAAUAAAAUUGAGAAUGAAAAUGGUGAAUGUGUCAAAGAGAUAACAACCCGACCAUAGAGCAGAUAACAGCCGAAGGCCACCAAUGGGUCUUCAAAUAGCGAGAAACUCCAGCACCCGGAGGAGUCCUUCAGUUGGCCCUUAAACAAAUAUGUAUACUAGUUCAGUGAUAAUGGACGUCAUGCUAAACUCCGAAUUAUACACAAGAAACUAAAUUAAAAAUCAAGAAGUAUUUCCAAUUGUAAAAAAAGAAUUAAAAAAAGACAACAGAUACCUAAGCGAUAUUCAAAUUUAUAAAUUGAAUAAGCUGACAAUGCUAUGGCAGAAUACCAAAACAAAAAGACUAACAGACAAAUAACAAUACAAAUAACACAG
rnacentral:lncRNA from 1 species